rnacentral:rRNA from 1 species
AUACGGAGGGGGCUAGCGUUGUUCGGAAUUACUGGGCGUAAAGCGCACGUAGGCGGUAUAUCAAGUUAGGCGUGAAAGCCCUGGGCUCAACCCGGGAACUGCGCUUAUUACUGAUGAACUAGAGUCCGGGAGAGGGUAGCGGAAUUCCCAGUGUAGAGGUGAAAUUCGUAGAUAUUGGGAAGAACACCAGUUGCGAAGGCGGCUACCUGGACCGGUACUGACGCUGAGGUGCGAAAGCGUGGGGAGCAAACAGGAUUAGAAACCCGGGUAGUCC